GACCACUACCAAGUGAAGCUGCCAGCAUGAUCUCAACUUUUCUUCUUAAUUUCUUAGGGAAAUAUUAGAUCAUGUGGCCGUUUCACUUAGUUGUUGG
rnacentral:pre_miRNA from 1 species